GACGAACGCUGGCGGCGUGCUUAACACAUGCAAGUCGAGCGGUAAGGCCCUUUCGGGGUACGACGAGCGGCGAACGGGUGAGUAACACGUGGGUGACCUCGCCCUCCAGCUCUGGGAGUAAGCCUGGGAAACCGGGUCUAAUACCGGAUAUGACUCCAUGACGCAUGUUGUGGGGUGGAAAGCCUUGUGCGGCUGAGGAUGGGCCCGCGGCCUAUCAGCUUGUUGGUGGGGUGANGGCCUACCAAGGCGACGACGGGUAGCCGGCCUGAGAGGGCGACCGGCCACACUGGGACUGAGACACGGCCCAGACUCCGUACGGGAGGCAGCAGUGGGGAAUCUUGCGCAAUGGGCGAAAGCCUGACGCAGCGACGCCGCGUGAGGGAUGAC
rnacentral:rRNA from 1 species